GACGAACGCUGGCGGCGUGCUUAACACAUGCAAGUCGAACGGAAAGGCCCUGCUUUUGUGGCGGGCUCGAGUGGCGAACGGGUGAGUAACACGCGAGUACCCUGCCCUUGCCUAUCGGAUAACUUCAGGAAACUGAGGCUAAUACCUGCUAGGAGAUCCUGCUGCGUGGUGUGGGUUGGAAAGUUUCGGCGGUUGGGGAUGGACUCGCGGCUUAUCAGCUUGUUGGUGGGGUAGUGGCUUACCAAGGCUUUGACGGGUAGCCGGCCUGAGAGGGUGACCGGCCAAAGUGCGACUGAGAUACGGGCCAGAGUAGUACGGGAGGCAGCAGUGGGGAAUAUAGUAUGAUGGGGCGAAGCCUGAUGCAGCAACGACGUGUGCGGGAUGACGGACUUCUGGUUGUGAACAGCUUUCGCCUGUGAUCAAGCGUGAGUGACGGUAAUGGAUAAAGAAGCACCGGCUAACUACGUG
rnacentral:rRNA from 1 species